rnacentral:tRNA from 1 species
AGUAUGAAGCAAUAUAUUGCAAUUAGUUUCGACCUAAUAGUUUGAUAUUUAUUUAUCCUUACUU